rnacentral:rRNA from 1 species
UACGGAGGGUGCGAGCGUUGUCCGGAAUCAUUGGGCGUAAAGGGCGCGUAGGUGGCGGGACAAGCGUGCGGUGAAAGCUCGGGGCUCAACCCCGAGUCGGCCGUGCGAACUGUUUUGCUGGAGCACUGUAGAGGCAGGCGGAAUUCCGGGUGUAGCGGUGGAAUGCGUAGAGAUCCGGAAGAACACCGGUGGCGAAGGCGACUUACUGGACACAUAUUGACGCUGAGGUGCGAAAGCGUGGGGAGCAAACAGGG